AAUGAACGCUGGCGGCAGGCCUAAAACAUGCAAGUCGAGCGCCCUAGCAAUAGGGAGCGGCGCACGGGUGAGUAACACGUGGGAAUAUGCCUUUUGGUACGGAACAACCUCGGGAAACUGAGGCUAAUACCGUAUGGUCCCUUCGGGGUAAAGAUUUAUCGCCAAAAGAGUAGCCCGCGUUGGAUUAGCUAGUUGGUAAGGUAACGGCUUACCAAGGCGACGAUCCAUAGCUGGUCUGAGAGGACGAUCAGCCACACUGGGACUGAGACACGGCCCAGACUCCUACGGGAGGCAGCAAUUAGGAAUAUUGGACAAUGGGCGCAAGCCUGAUCCAGCCAUGCCGCGUGAGUGAUGAAGG
rnacentral:rRNA from 1 species